rnacentral:rRNA from 1 species
UACGGAGGGUGCGAGCGUUGUUCGGAAUUAUUGGGCGUAAAGCGCACGUAGGCGGUCCUUUAAGUCUCACGGUGAAAGGCCGGGGCUCAACCCCGUAGCUGGCCGGGGAUACUGGGGGACUGGAGACAGGUAGAGGCCAGCGGAAUUCCGGGUGUAGCGGUGGAAUGCGUAGAGAUCCGGAAGAACACCGGAGGCGAAGGCGGCUGGCUGGACCUGAUCUGACGCUGAGGUGCGAAAGCGUGGGGAGCGAACAGGAUUAGAAACCCUGUAGUCC